GCAGAUACUUGAUGAGGUUGCGAGUCUUAAUGAACAACAUUUAUAUAUGAGUCGAAUUGAGAGUUCUGAGCUUCUACAAACCUUUAAAUACGAGAAUGCAGAAACUCAAAAAAACGAUCAUGAGGCUGGAACAAGCUGUUGCUGCGUUUGUAAAAGGAGAUAUUAAAUCACAUGGAGCUUUUGCUAUUUUACAAGGGAGGCAUAUGAAGUAUUGUUUUAUAAGAGGGAAUGGUACUCUUGAGCAUGCAUAAAUAAUAUAAGUGAUGGGAAGUUUUUGAAGACAAAUCAAAAUGCAGAGAGCAUAUUAUAGUUUCCAAGAAGCCCAACCAAAUUAAGAAGUCCAAUUUCUCUUUAAAGUAUACAAUUAGUCAACUUAAAACGUUUCGCCAUAAAUUUGGUUCUGAAUCGAAAGGGAUCAAACUUUAACCCUUGAUAUGAAUAUGCCUUUUUAUUACACGUGUCAGUUUUUCUUUUAUACAUGUUUUAUGCUUUUUUUUUUUUUUACGUUUCUUAUGUAUUAGUUGGAUCACAUAUAAAUACGUAAUGAUUGUAUAAUAUAAAUUUGAUUACCUUACAUUUUGAUCCAACCGCAAUGCUAUUAUAUCUGAUAUAUCAAAACACGCGUUUUCAUAUGGUGUACGCAUUACUCACUGAUGAACGAUUUUGAAGAGAGGUUAGAUGAAUGCACUUUAA